GACAUUAGUUCACAACAGAAUCUCCAUCAUCCACAAAUGCAAAGAAAGCAAAGUGUGCCAACCCAUACUAACUACUGCAAGGUGCAGGACUGAUGUACAGAGAACUGACAGAGCUGCUGUUAAAAAAAUGAGUACCUCUUAAACUGCUGCUUCUUUAACAAGCAGAGCUGAGAAACAAAUCCAGAUUAUCUGGGGAUAUGAAACUCGUCAUGAUUCUGUGAACAGAGGACACCUGCCAAGAAGGUAAACCCAUUUUACUUUGGGAUAUUACUCUAUAAGAAGUAAGAGUACACAUCAAUUACCAGCAGAACCUGCCUCAUCUACCAUCAAAAUGAAGUUCGCUAUUGUGGUUGCUCUCCUUGGAGUUCUCCUGGCUCCAACCCUUGCCGAAGAGAACCACAGGGAGGCCAACGGUGAAGGUCCGCACCUUCCACCCCGUGUUGAAGGUCCACACCUUCCACCCCGUGUUGAAGGUCCACACCAUCCACCCCGUGAUGAAGGUCCACACCUUCCACCCCGUGAUGAAGGUCCACACCUUCCACCCCGUGAUGAAGGUCCACACCAUCCACCCAAUGGCGAAAAUCCACACGUUCCACUCCGUGGUGAAGGUCCACCCCGUGGUGAAGGUCCACACCAUCCACCCAGUGGCGAAAAUCCACACUAUCUAAUCCACCAUGGAAAUCCACACCACCUACCCCCUGUUGAAAUUCCACGCCCUCAUUUGGUCAACCCUGGGUUUGCCAUCAGGCCGCCUCAGAACUGGAAAACCAUCUGGGAUGCCAAGACCGGCUUCAUCGCAACCAAGGUACUGGGAAAAAACACUUGCAUCAUUAGCAAAGCUGAUACAGGAUUUAACAGAUUUGAGGGAGCUAGCACUGGGUUCCUUCCACCCAUAGAGCAUCGUUACAUGAUCUCAAACAACAGACUCCUGAACCUGUACCCAUAUGGACCACGCAUUCAAAGACUGUGCAGAGGAAUUCCCACUUACUUUGCUUUCCCAUCUCCUGCAUCAAACUUCUCAGAGGAUGAUGCCUCAUGUAUCAGAAACAAGUUCAGAAACAUGUGGUUCACUUACUGCAAUUUAUAAAUUUCUCCUGAUGAAAUUUUGAGGAAGAAAAUACACAUAUCUGCAUAUCCAUGAAGAAGCUUUUUUUUCCUUGAUGAUCUUAUCUUGAUCACAAUGUCAAUCAUGUAUCUGUCUUCUCUUCUGCUCUUGGUGGAGCAUAUUUUCUUUCAGUAAAAUGCAUCAUCAGCCUCC
rnacentral:lncRNA from 1 species